CAUUCCACUUCACAUAAGUCUUUUUAUCAAACAAUUGUCUUACAAGAGUUGUCGUUCGUUUGGCCAUCACCCCACAUCUUUAUUAUAUGGUAAUCUCACCUUAUUUUGAAGCAAGUGUGAGCUGGUUUUCAGCGAUAUUUUCGGAAUUUAAAGCUUAAAAUCAUUGAAAACCUGCAGUUAUAAUUGCAGAAAGACAUCUUAAACAAUACGCCAUCUUGGUUGGCACAGGAAGCCCAAUGCUACAAAUACAGGGAUCCCGCACAUACAUAACACACAUUGUAAAAGCAUUGAGGCGAAUGUGAAAAGCGUUAUUAUGAGCACCACAUCAUUAUGUUAUAUUACCAUCAUAAAUAUGGUUCGUGUUCUUCUCGUGAACCUUUUGGACAUGUUCACAAUGUAGAGUAACAAGCAAGCAGUGUGACCUACCGGUACGUACGUAGUUCAACCGGAAGUCUUACCGAUAUGUCUCUUGAUCAGCUGGAAUAUCAACAACCACAACAUUAACAACAAUUUUAUAACAAAAAAAAAAAAAA